rnacentral:misc_RNA from 1 species
AAGUCGUAACAAGGUUUCCGUAGGUGAACCUGCGGAAGGAUCAUUAACGAGUAAACAGGGGAGUUGUAGCUGGCCGCAAGGCAUGUGCACGCUCUCUACUCAAUCCAACCUUACACCUGUGCACCUAUUGUAGGUCGAGUGGCUGGACUUGUUCUGGUCGCUCUUCCUAUGUUUUACACAUACACUUGUAGUCUCAGAAUGUAAUCCGUGUAUAACGCAUUAUAAAACAACUUUCAACAACGGAUCUCUUGGCUCUC